AACGAACGCUGGCGGCAGGCUCAACACAUGCAAGUCGAGCGCCCCGCAAGGGGAGCGGCAGACGGGUGAGUAACGCGUGGGAAUCUACCCAUCCCUACGGAAUAACGCAUGGAAACGUGUGCUAAUACCGUAUACGUCCUUCGGGAGAAAGAUUUAUCGGAGAUGGAUGAGCCCGCGUUGGAUUAGCUAGUUGGUGGGGUAAAGGCCUACCAAGGCGACGAUCCAUAGCUGGUCUGAGAGGAUGAUCAGCCACACUGGGACUGAGACACGGCCCAGACUCCUACGGGAGGCAGCAGUGGGGAAUAUUGGACAAUGGGCGCAAGCCUGAUCCAGCCAUGCCGCGUGAGUGAUGAAGGCCCUAGGGUUGUAAAGCUCUUUCACCGGUGAAGAUAAUGACGGUAACCGGAGAAGAAGCCCCGGCUAACUUCGUGCCAGCCGCCGCCGUAAAAC
rnacentral:rRNA from 1 species